rnacentral:lncRNA from 1 species
AUUAACAAAUAACUGAGAUAACUGUUGCUAAAAAUGAGCUGCUGUUGCAUCAAGGCAUAUUUUCACAAUGAGAGUUUUUAGUAUGGUUUAAACUACAUGCACAAAUCAGAUACUCCCCUUACCCAUCUUGCUACUAUUUGUGUGGCUAAGAAUAUCAAGUGUUAGCUGAGCUAGACAAUAUGGCUUCCCAACGGUAUUUUUGCCAGUGCUUUAUACGGUAGCUUGCAGGUAGCUGACUAAAAUCUCUGUUGUGCUACAGUCUGUAUGUGGCUUUUGUGAGGUGCUGUGCACUGUUGAUUGUUUACUACACCUGCAGGUGUUCUUCAGUGGCUCUCCAAAUAACUAAAUCUUGUACUGUCUCCUUGAUGCAGGUUUGUACCUGCAUCCUCUUUUAACUCUGCUGUUGAAUGUCUAGCAGUGCAGUCUUUGCUAGUGUAUAGAACAUGGUCUAUAUAUAGAUGAGAUUUUCAUAUUCCCUUUCACAGAUACAUCAUACACUGUAAACUAAUCAAAUAUAUUAUAAUCCACCUCUAAUAUAACAGUAGGCGCUAAUGGCGGGUCCACUGCUCAUAAACUUUGUGCUUCAUAAUUUCAAGCUACUUUUUUCUAGUACAAAGAGAGCGAGAGAAAUAAAUACUGCCAAAUGUUUUUACUUUGUGAUGCACCUCUUUAUAUCUCAUCAUUGUACCUUAGACAAGUUUAUAUCACAGGGACAGUAUAAACUACAGUAUUACGUUUUGUGAAGAUAACAUGCAUAGUAUUUUCACUACAAUACUGUUUGAAUUUAGGAGAGAUAUUACUAGCACAUUAUAGUGUUAAUACUAUAGGAAGGUUAAUCAGAAGCUCUGAAUAACUGUGAUUACUAGUCUGUGAUCAAGCAGCACAUGACAUGAUUAGUUUGUAUUACUGAAAAGCAAUAUUGAACGAGUCAAGGUUAAAGGCAUGGUGAAAAUAUAUAAUAUAAUUACAGUAAUUCAUUGUGUUGGGGGACAGGAAGCCAAAGUGUAUUCAUAAUCGGUAGACUUAUAUCGUGGUCCUUCCCCUUCCCCCCCCUUCAUGGCGGAAUUACUGACCUUGCCCAGGAUGCAACCCCCACAACAAGCUGACUAACUCCUGAGUAUCUACUCGCUGCUAGGUGAACAGAGGCAUUAGGUGAAAGGAAAUGUGCCCAACCAUUUCUGUCCUGCUGUGAUUCGAUCCCGAAAUUUUUUAUUGUGCAUCGUGACUGAACUUGACUGUACUACCGGCACCCUUGCAAUAUCUAGUGCAAUCAUGUGUGGUCUAGCUAUAAAACUAAUUAAAGCUACUACCUUUAUGUAAUACUGUAGAUAUUUCAGUGCAAUUUCCUUCAGUUGAAAUGAACAUCCCUCGAAAAUUUUCUAUUUUAUUGCAACCUUUUUUUUUUUUUGUUAUUUAACAAAUGCAUACAUCUAUUGGCAAGAUUUUUCAAUUGUGCAUAUAUUGAAGUUUGGCACUACAGUACUACAUGUAGCCUUCUUGGAUGGAAUGUCCAUCCUAAAAAGUGUAACUGGGCAACCUGUCCUACAAAGAACGUCGCAUUUCGCGCGUAUGCGUUACAUAUGGCCAAAAAUUGUCGUACUAGAAAAUAGAAGCGGCUCACGAAAGUAAUGUACUGGCCUGUUUUCUGUUUUGCGCCCUCUGGUAGGUUAGGAGAGGACACUUUAACUUGACAGUUUUCUUGGCAUUGGGAAACCUUAGGAGGAUGGGCUGAAAUGGGUGCAUGUUGAAACUUAUGAUGCACCAUGGUAUUUUCUUAGGCAUGUUGACAUUUGUGACACAUUCCUAACUUUUUCUCACAAUUUAAGGGAAGACUGAUACCUUGUUUCACUGUUGUGAUCUUUUAGACAUCUUCAGUUUCUAAAAUACAGAUUUAACAAUAUAAAAUGAACAAAAAGCACAUCCCAAAAUUUAUGGCUGUCAGUAGUAACUGACUUAUAGCUACAUAACCUUCUAACUAGUUAUUCAUAUAAAUUGGUCAUAAGUGAGCCUCAGGAAGGGUGGUAAAAGGCAGUCCAGAUAGUCACCAAGUUAUCUUAUUAUCAAAUUAUCCAUUUUUAGCCCUUAGCGAAAAAAUAAUUUUGAUACGUUACUCUUUAAGCAACAUAAAUUUAUAGUUGAGCAUGGUGGAAGCUAUAAGGUAGUACAGUAAUAAUAUAUAUAAUACAGUACUGUAAUAAUAUAUAUAAUACAGCUAUAUGGUAGCUGUAGCCUCCACUCCAAACACUAAGAUCAUGGAUCUGUUCCUAAAAUACCACCUUACAGCUGACUGACACUGAAGAUGUUUACCACAGUAGUGCUGUUGUGACUGCCAAUAUUAAGAACACUGUCUUGGGGGGUGGGGAAAAAAAUAUGACUCUCGAGAGUUAUUCUCUGCAUUAAUACUGUACAGUAUUGAUAAUGAGCCUCGAGUAUUAAUAGUAUUAUAAGUUCAUUUUUUAUAAUAAUAUAAAUAAAAAGACCCGUUCCACUCUUAUCUAUUCAAAUUUUCCUUGUACUGCACCAAAGGUGAAUUGCAGUAGUCACAAAUCAGGGAUUGUUAUGCAUAAUUAAGAAGUUUCACAUGCUGUAUAUUUCUUUAAACAUGAAGCAGUACUGGAAUCUUCGUCACUGCUUGGUGCAAUUUGGAUCCUCACUCUCAAGUACAUACAACUUGUGAUGAUCCCAAUGCAAGCACCAUCUUACUUAACAGUAUUAAAAUAUAGCCAAAUUGGCUUUUAUUUUUUAUUUAGAUAAAUUACUGUAUAAGAGUAGAUAUCUGCCACUAAAGACAUUUGUUCUGUUACUAUAGUUUAUGUAAUGCUGUGGAGUUUUUUUUAGGUAGAUAUCCAAACAAAAGAAAGGCAGUUUAGUCAUUUAGUCAUUAUGUAAUUAUGUAUAUAUAUAAACUGUUCUUUUAAUAGAAAAUGAUAUUUACCACUAAAGAAACUUGGCUGACUAGGCAUCUGUGCAACUAUGAAGGAGCAAUUUGGUUUGUUUUCAGAAUUAGAUGUUGACUGCUAAAGAAUCCUUUUUGUCAUCCUAUGUUGGUGCUGGAUAACCUUAGAAACCUAAAUGGUUUCAUAUAUUUUGGUUCAUUAUUAUUGCACUCCCAAAGCCUUCAGUGGGCCUUGAUUCCAAUUUUCUGUUAUAUAAGGUAAAUUGUUUAUAAAUAUUGCCUAGUCUUCAAGUUUUGUUUUUACUUUUGACAUUAAUUUAUUUAAACAAUUAGUUGCAUGUGUUUACAUAUUAGGAAAAAUUAGUAUGCAUCACCUCUGCUCAUUAUUUUGAGAAGGAUCUGGUCUUUUUUGUAAACAAAAGAUAACUUUUAGUAUAAAAGAACGUUUAUAAUAUCAAAAAUCUUAGUGUAUUUACCCAUACUCACAAGAUUUGUGAAAAUAAAUAUAAUGAGGCAUGCGGUAGCAGGCCUUAGUUACUACUGUGCUGUUGUUGGCCAGUUUGUCUAUAAAAUAUUGGAAAAUCAUCCAUCAUGUUUUAGCAAAUAACAACAAGAACUGCUGAAUCCUCUCUCUAUAUAGCUAUAUUACUAGUAGAAAGAUAUUCCAGAACAUUUUGCAUUUAUACAGCUUGGACUUCAAAGUCAAAAUAUGUAAUCCCAAGUACAGUUCAGUGUCUAUAAUAUUACAUAACUGAAGAAGUUUGACAGUGUUUAACUCAACCUUUAUGGUAGAUUUGUCAUAAGGUAGAACAGUGGGAUGUGAAUAAUUUUUUUUAUUUUUGUUUAUAGUUGAUGACAAAACCACACAUCAGAAAUGAAGAAACAACAAUAUUUCGGUCCGUCCUGGACCAUUAUGUAGUCAUGAGAAGAUAAUUAUCAAGAUGGACCAUUAUCAAGUUGAUCUCGCGAUUUGAUGUGCGGGAUGGACCGAAAUGUUGUCGUUUAUUUAUAUUCUGAUGUGUGGGUUAGUCAUCAUAUCUUCAGCCAUGUUAUUAUGACUCGUCGUCUGCUUAUAUUUAUAAUGGUUUUAUUAAGAACUGAGUAAUUUGUUUAAUUUUUAAAUUACAUGUUGCAUAUAGCAAAAAAUUAAAAUCAAAGACCUAUUUUGACAAACAUACAGAGUGAAUGAUUAUAACAAUAAGGUUUAUAAAAGUGAAUGAUUAAUAGGAUUGAUUAUAAGGUAUAUAACCUAUACAUCAAAGUAAAUGUGCAAAAAUGUAAAAAACAAAAACAAAAAAAAAAAUAAAUAUAGAAACAAAUUAUAUCAAACA